UACGGAGGGUGCGAGCGUUGUUCGGAAUUACUGGGCGUAAAGCGCGUGUAGGCGGCCGAUUAAGUCUGGUGUGAAAGCCCGGGGCUCAACUGGGGAGGGUCACGCGAUACUGAUCGACUCGAAGGCAGGAGAGGGUAGUGGAAUUCCCGGUGUAGUGGUGAAAUGCGUAGAUAUCGGGAGGAACACCAGUGGCGAAGGCGACUACCUGGCCUGUUCUUGACGCUGAGGCGCGAAAGCUAGGGGAGCAAACGGG
rnacentral:rRNA from 1 species